AGAUCCAAUUUCACAAGCCCACUGGGAAAUACUGUCAUACAUCAGUUACAUAGGCUGUGGCAUGUCUGCAUUCUUCACUGCUUUGUCCAUUGUGAUUUAUGUCUUCAGUCGAAACCACAAACUGGAUUACUCCAUCUCUAUCCAUGUAUCUCUAAGCGGGGCCCUGUUUCUGCUCAAUACAACCUUCCUGCUGACCGAGUGGGGGUCCACCAUAGAGCCAGAGUGGGCAUCCCUGGUAUAAUUGUAACAGUCUCUUUAGCAAUGAAGGACUUCAAGCAG